GCGAGGCUGUGAUGUUGAGAACUACCUAUUUUCUGAGAGAAAAUUCCUCGUGAUUAUAAAACACCAAUGGAUCCUUCUGAGCCUCU